AAAGGACCUGUAUGAAACAAAAGAUGGCCAAGAAGUAGAAGAAAAUUUAAACUAAAGCCAGGAGUUCAGCUUUGCUUAA
ensembl:misc_RNA